rnacentral:rRNA from 1 species
UACGUAGGGGGCAAGCGUUGUCCGGAAUCAUUGGGCGUAAAGCGCGUGUAGGCGGCUCGGUAAGUCCGCUCUGAAAGUCCAGGGCUCAACCCUGGGAUGCGGGUGGAUACUGCCGGGCUUGAGUCCGGAAGAGGCGAGUGGAAUUCCCGGUGUAGCGGUGAAAUGCGCAGAUAUCGGGAGGAGCACCAAUGGCGAAGGCAGCUCGCUGGGACGUGACUGACGCUGAGACGCGAAAGCGUGGGGAGCAAACAGG